GACCAGUUAGCUCAGUUGGUUAGAGCGUGGGCUCUUAACACCAAGGUCGCUGGUUCAAUCCCCGCAUGGGCCA